AGUGAACGCUGGCGGUAGGCCUAACACAUGCAAGUCGAACGGCAGCACAGUAAGAGCUUGCUCUUACGGGUGGCGAGUGGCGGACGGGUGAGGAAUACAUCGGAAUCUACUUUUUCGUGGGGGAUAACGUAGGGAAACUUACGCUAAUACCGCAUACGACCUACGGGUGAAAUCAGGGGAUCUUCGGACCUUGCGCGAUUGAAUGAGCCGAUGUCGGAUUAGCUAGUUGGCGGGGUAAAGGCCCACCAAGGCGACGAUCCGUAGCUGGUCUGAGAGGAUGAACAGCCACACUGGAACUGAGACACGGUCCAGACUCCUACGGGAGGCAGCAGUGGGGAAUGUUGGACAAUGGGCGAAAGCCUGAUCCAGCCAUACCGCGUGGGUGAAGAAGGCCUUCGGGUUGUAAAACCCUUUUGUUGGGAAAGAAAAGCAGCAGGUUAAUACCCCGCUGUUCUGACGGUACCCAAAGAAUAAGCACCGGCUAACUUCGUG
rnacentral:rRNA from 1 species